rnacentral:rRNA from 1 species
GAGUUUGAUCGUGGCUCAGGAUGAACGCUGGCGGCGUGCUUAACACAUGCAAGUCGAACGAAGCGCCUUAUUUGAUUUUCUUCGGAACUGAAGAUUUGGUGACUGAGUGGCGGACGGGUGAGUAACGCGUGGGUAACCUGCCCUGUACAGGGGGAUAACAAUCAGAAAUGACUGCUAAUACCGCAUAAGACCACAGCACCGCAUGGUGCAGGGGUAAAAACUCCGGUGGUACAGGAUGGACCCGCGUCUGAUUAGCUGGUUGGUGAGGUAACGGCUCACCAAGGCGACGAUCAGUAGCCGGCUUGAGAGAGUGAACGGCCACAUUGGGACUGAGACACGGCCCAAACUCCUACGGGAGCAGCAGUGGGGAAUAUUGCACAAUGGGGGAAACCCUGAUGCAGCAACGCCGCGUGAGUGAAGAAGUAUUUCGGUAUGUAAAGCUCUAUCAGCAGGGAAGAAAGUGACGGUACCUGACCUAAGAAGCCCCGGCUAACUACGUGCCAGCCGCCGCCGU